rnacentral:rRNA from 1 species
CUACGGGGGGCACCAGUGAGGAAUUUUGCGCAAUGGGCGGAAGCCUGACGCAGCAACGCCGCGUGAGUGACGAAGGCCUUCGGGUCGUAAAGCUCUGUCAAGCGGGAAGAACCCGCGGACGUCCAACAAGCGUCCGCGCUGACGGUACCGCUGAAGGAAGCACCGGCUAACUCCGUGCCAGCAGCCGCGGUAAUACGGAGGGUGCGAGCGUUAUUCGGAAUUAUGGGGCGUAAAGGGCGCGCAGGCGGCCCUGAAAGUCAGAUGUGAAAGCCCGGGGCUCAACCCCGGAAGUGCAUUUGAUACUGCAGGGCUUGAGUAUGGGAGAGGGAAGUGGAAUUCCUGGUGUAGAGGUGAAAUUCGUAGAUAUCAGGAGGAACACCGGUGGCGAAGGCGACUUCCUGGACCAAUACUGACGCUGAGGCGCGAAGGCGUGGGGAGCAAACAGGAUUAGAUACCCCAGUAGUC